AGGUUCCUACAAUGGCCAGCUCUUCUAGGCCAUUUGACUAAACAUCAAAGGAGCAGCUACUUCAAAUAGUACCUCUGAGCCACACUGUGGUCACAGCUGCCCGGCUUGAGGUGCAAAUACCUGGAAGGAGGUAUCUGGGUUAGAAAGAGCAUUUAUUCAUUGACCAAAUUUCCAAGUCUUAAUUAUUAUCUAAAGAUCAAGUUGAAGUGAUGAUCUAGCACAACAGAGAGCCCCACCUGGGAGGGCUGUUGGAAAGUGUUAGUCCCUGGAAAAGCAACUCGACCAAGCAGAGCCCUCAAAUUGAUCCCCAUGACUAGAAUUCCCUCCCUGUCUUUUCUCCCCAGUCUCCAAAGGCCAUGAGAGAAACCCAGCAAGAGACGCUGGAGGAGCCAGGACAUUCAAGAGAGUUGGAGAGAAAGAACCUCAGCUAGGCCAACAUGGCGGAGAAGUAGGGGGACCCAUACUUCCUGCCACUCUCAAACAAAGAAGUGCAGAAGCCAAAGGACUUUGAACACCAGAGCCUGGGAGGAAAAGAGACUGAAUCUACUAGGAAUAAAAUGGGGAAGCUGGAAAGAAGAUAGAAAAGUCCCAUGUUCCAAGUGACUUGUAAGCGAUAUUUCAGAAUAUAGUUCUUCCAGAGGACCACCUGUAUGGGAAAGUGAAAACAAGAACAAUAUUUGCACAAGGAGGAUCUGGACAUGAUCCUGGCCCUACCCUUGUAGGACCAUCACUUUGGGUCAGUGACACUAGCUCUGUGGCCAUGAGUUUCUUCCUCUGUAAAAUGGGUGAAUGCCUAACUGUUCACAAAGACCCUUUGAAGGUCAGAUAUAAAUGAAAUACUCUGAAACGUGCUAUAAAGGAGUUUUGUGGAUA